rnacentral:rRNA from 1 species
GACGUAGGAUGCGAGCGUUAUUCGGAUUUAUUGGGCGUAAAGCGUGCGUAGGCGGCUGUUUACGUCUGGUGUUAAAGCUAGGGGCUCAACCCCUGUGGUGCAUCGGAUACUGGGCAGCUUGAGUGCGGUAGGGGAAGGUGGAAUUCCGAGUGUAGCGGUGAAAUGCGUAGAUAUUCGGAAGAACACCGGUGGCGAAGGCGGCAUCCUGGACCAACACUGACGCUGAGGCGCGAAAGCUAGGGGAGCAAACGGG